rnacentral:lncRNA from 1 species
AAAAGAAUUAUCUUUUUUCUUAUGUGAAGUAUAUAUGGUCUAAUGUCGUUGUAAGAAGAGGAAGAGAAACCAGAGUUCUCUCUCCUGUGCAUACCAUCAAGGAAAGGUCAUGUGAGCACGCAGUGAGAAGGUGGCCAUCUGCAAACCAGGAAGAGAGCUUCACCAGAAACUGACCAUGCUGGCAUCUUGGUCUUGGACUUCCAAGCCUCAAGAGCUGGCAUUUGAGAACUCACAAGAGAUGGUUCAUGUCAUUACUGGGGCUGAAGAAAUAAGAAAAAAGAAUGGUUAUUGGAAUCUGAAAACUGGGAGUGCCGAGUGGAUAGAGCUGUGUAACAGGACCUGUGGCCUUAGGCAAGUGACUUAGCCGUGCCAUGCCAACUCUGUUGGGAGAGUCAAGGGCUCUGAGGAUACGUCCUCUGUGCUGUAUUGGCUUUCUGGUUCAUUUGGUUCUCUCAGCAGCCCUGAGAAAUAUGUUGUUAUAACACUU